UCCGUGACGGCGUGCCUUUUGCAUAAUGAGCCUACGAGUUACCGUUGCUAGCAAGGUUAAGGACUUCAGGUCCGGAUCCGUAGCGAAAGCGAGUCUGAAUAGGGCGCUUUAGUUAGUAGUGGUAGACGCGAAACCGUGUGAUCUACCCAUGGGCAGGUUGAAGCUGUAGUAACAUACAGUGGAGGCCCGAACCGGUUGACGUUGAAAAGUCUUCGGAUGACCUGUGGGUAGGGGUGAAAGGCCAAUCAAACUCGGAAAUAGCUCGUACUCCCCGAAAUGCAUUUAGGUGCAGCGUUGAUUUAUAGUUUUAUAGAGGUAGAGCUACUGAUUGGAUGCGGGGGCUUCACCGCCUACCAAUUCCUGACAAACUCCGAAUGCUAUAAAAUGUUAAUCAGCAGUGAGGGCAUGGGUGCUAAGGUCCAUGUCCGAGAGGGAAAGAACCCAGACCAUCAGCUAAGGUCCCCAAAUGUAUGUUAAGUUGAAUAAACGAGGUUGAACUGCUUAGACAGCUAGGAUGUUGGCUUGGAAGCAGCCAUUCAUUUAAAGAGUGCGUAACAGCUCACUAGUCGAGCGGUUUUGCAUGGAUAAUAAUCGGGCAUAAACAUAUUACCGAAGCUAUGGAUUUGUAUUAUAUACAAGUGGUAGGGGAGCAUUGUAACCUGCGUAGAAGGUGUGCUGUAAGGCAUGCUGGAGUGGUUACAAAAGAAAAUGUAGGCAUAAGUAACGAUAAAGGGGGCGAGAAACCCCCUCACCGAAAGACUAAGGUUUCCUCAGCUAUGCUAAUCAGCUGAGGGUUAGUCGGGACCUAACGCGAACCCGAAAGGGGUAGUGGAUGGACAACGGGUUAAUAUUCCCGUACCUGCUCACGCUAAAAGUGACGGAGGCGUAUAUUUGGUGCGAACUGACGGAAUAGUUCGUUGAAGGGAGCGGUAACGCCCCGAUAGUACACUGAGGCUACGGCCAAGGUGAUAAUCCAGAGAAGCGACUUCCAAGAAAAGCAAGUGAAGCAGCCCGUACCGCAAACCGACACAGGUAGUUGGGAUGAGAAUUCUAAGGUGCUCGAGAGAUUCAUGGCUAAGGAACUAGGCAAAAUAGACCUGUAACUUCGGGAGAAAGGUCGCCCCCCUCCGGGGGGGCCGCAGUGAAAAGGUCCAGGCGACUGUUUAUCAAAAACACAGGAG
rnacentral:rRNA from 1 species